rnacentral:rRNA from 1 species
AAGCGGAGGAAAAGAAACUAACAAGGAUUCCCCUAGUAGCGGCGAGCGAAGCGGGAAGAGCUCAAAUUUAUAAUCUGGCACCUUCGGUGUCCGAGUUGUAAUCUCUAGAAAUGUUUUCCGCGUUGGACCGCACACAAGUCUGUUGGAAUACAGCGGCAUAGUGGUGAGACCCCCGUAUAUGGUGCGGACGCCCAGCGCUUUGUGAUACAUUUUCGAAGAGUCGAGUUGUUUGGGAAUGCAGCUCAAAUUGGGUGGUAAAUUCCAUCUAAAGCUAAAUAUUGGCGAGAGACCGAUAGCGAACAAGUACCGUGAGGGAAAGAUGAAAAGCACUUUGGAAAGAGAGUUAACAGUACGUGAAAUUGUUGGAAGGGAAACGCUUGAAGUCAGACUUGCUUGCCGAGCAAUCGGUUUGCAGGCCAGCAUCAGUUUUCCGGGAUGGAUAAUGGUAGAGAGAAGGUAGCAGUUUCGGCUGUGUUAUAGCUCUCUGCUGGAUACAUCUUGGGGGACUGAGGAACGCAGUGUGCCUUUGGCGGGGGUUUCGACCUCUUCACACUUAGGAUGCUGGUGGAAUGGCUUUAAACGACCCGUCUUGAA